AUACGGAGGGUGCAAGCGUUAUCCGGAAUCAUUGGGUUUAAAGGGUCCGUAGGCGGAUUAUUAAGUCAGAGGUGAAAUCCCACAGCUUAACUGUGGAACUGCCUUUGAUACUGGUAGUCUUGAGUUAUAUGGAAGUAGAUAGAAUGUGUAGUGUAGCGGUGAAAUGCAUAGAUAUUACACAGAAUACCGAUUGCGAAGGCAGUCUACUACGUAUAUACUGACGCUAAUGGACGAAAGCGUGGGGAGCGAACAGGAUUAGAAACCCUGGUAGUCC
rnacentral:rRNA from 1 species